GAAAAGAAAGGAAGGAAAGUAACAAAGGAAAGCGUAAAGGACAGAUCCAGGGAGAAUGGGAGAAAUUGGAUUACAAAUCUUUCUGGCUUUCUUCGGUUCGUUCGUGCUUCCUUCCGUUCUUUCUUUCUUUCUUCUUUCUUUCU
rnacentral:ribozyme from 1 species